CAUCCCUACGGGGGGCAGCAGUUAGGAAUAUUCGUCAAUGGGGGAAACCCUGAUGCAGCGACGCCGCGUGAGCGAUGAAGUAUUUCGGUAUGUAAAGCUCUAUCGGCAGGGAAGAAAAUGACGGUACCUGACUAAGAAGCCCCGGCUAACUACGUGCCAGCAGCUGCGGUAAUACGUAGGGGGCAAGCGUUAUCCGGAUUUACUGGGUGUAAAGGGAGCGUAGACGGCUGUGCAAGCCAGAUGUGAAAGCCCGGGGCUCAACCCCGGGACUGCAUUUGGAACUGUGUGGCUGGAGUGUCGGGGAG
rnacentral:rRNA from 1 species